GGCAGUUCUCAAGUGAUGCACCCCGGAAUUGGGCUCCCUCCUCUCUGGUUCCGGGUGCAUCACCCGAGAACCGCA
rfam:Myotis brandtii contig190680, whole genome shotgun sequence.